rnacentral:lncRNA from 1 species
UGACUGCCACAUUACAAAUUAGCAAACAAAGCCAUUUGUGAGCCUUCAGUGCUUGUCAUUGUUAUUCAUGCAAAUCUGCUGCAAUGUGCCAUUUAGGACAGUCAUUGUUGUAACCCAACUACAUGACAAUGUAUGCAAAUAACCAAGAGACUGAGAUAGAAAGAAAGAAAGAAGAAGUUAGCAUCGAUUUCUUCCCCGUUGUCCACAUCUGCUGGCAUUGAUAGCACGAAUAUUUAAAAAUAAAUAAGCCAGUCCUCGGUGGAUGAAUGAGAGUCUUGCACCCAAGAAACAACGGAGAAAAACCUGCAGAAGAAAAGGGAACAUGCAGGAAACCAGUUUUCCUUCUGACUGCCUACAGACCAUGAGGAAAUUCUACUCUGCUCCUUACCAAGCAUUCCAGGCUUUGCUACUUGCAUCAGUGAUGGCUUGGUGUAGAAAGAAAAGCCAACAAGCUCCAGAGUAUUCACCAGAAAUUCUGCCCUACUCAAGUCAGGAUGCAAUACUUGCCUUAGUAAUUUUCUCCCUCUUGUCCUUUCUGCCCAAUGUGAAUCUACAAUGUUUGAAGGAUGCAAGCCCUGUGUAUGAACAGGAGGCAACCUCUUGUUUGUGUGAUGAGAAACAUAAUUUUGAGGAACUUGGUAGGUUCUUGAAAAGACAGAAUGGAAACAGAAUCUCAUUUCCUCUUUCUUUGGCAUCCAUUUUUGGUUACUUAUUAAUUCUAAGGAAAGAGUAACAUUGGAGAAAAGCAUUAAAUGGGAGACACUCAACACUGGCUUUUCUUCUGUAACUCUGAAGUGCAAUGGUUAAUUGAUGGCCAGACCUGUGAAUGUGACUAUAUGACUGAGAUGCGUAGGGGUAAUGACAUGAGUUUGGAAAACUACUUUCAGAGGCAAAUAAAGAGUAUUACAUACAUUGCA